UUGAAAGAAGUAUAAGAAAUAUAAUAAUACAAGUAAUUUAAAUCUUUAACUAUAAUAACACUUAAUUAUUUUUAUCAUGGGAAAUCUUUGUCUCUCUUGUUGCAAACAAUCAUCUUCAUGUGAAGAUUUAACGCCAGACUUGGAAACUAGAAGAAGAAAACAAAUGGAAGCUGCAGAAAAAAGAAUUGCUGAACAACAAAAUCGAGGAAUUAAAAAUAUUGAGGCUGUUAAAAGACAAGAAAGGUUAGAUCAAUUACGUGAAAAACGUCAAGAAGAAGUCGGUAACAAAAAUGUACAAAGUAAUUUAAAGUGGCAAAUGAAUUAAUGGGACAUUUUAAUGGAAAUUAAUUAUUUGCUGUACCUAUAAAUUUAUUUUAAGAAAUAUACAAUUAUUUAAUUUAAGAUCAUAGAUAAUAUAUAUAUAUAUAUAUAAAAUAAUGUACAAAAAUUGUAUGCUAUAUGAUACUAUUUCUUAAUAGAAAUUAAAUGAUGUCGCAGAUCUGCAUUUUGCAAAAUUUAAAUAUUUAGAGAUAUACACAUUUACUUAUGUGUAUAUCUGUUUUUAUAUUAUGUUUUCUAUAGUGCCUUAAAUAUUUAUAUAAAUUAUACCAUUUUAUAUGAUACAUAAUUAACAAUAUAAUUGUAAUGUCACUAAUUAUAAGUCAUAAAAUAUUAUUGUUAUAUAUUAUAAUUUUUGUUUAAAAUUCUAUUAAUAUUUUUUAUUAUAAUAUAUUUUAAUAUUAGAAAUAUAUAGGUAUAAUAUUGUUAUAAUCAAAUUCAUUAUAUUUUGUUGUAUUGUUGUUAAAUACUUUUAUUAAAAUAUAUUUAUAUAUGAUAUUUAAUAAUAUAUUAAUUUAAUUAAUUAAAUAUUGAAUUUAAAUAUUGAAAAUUCUCUUAUUUUUGUUUAACAAAAUAUAUUUAUAAAAUACAAGGCUAGUGCAUGCACAUGUGAUAUAAAGCUAAUUUAUUUACUAUAAUACAAAAAAUUCAAAAUCAAAAAUAUGUAAAGUAUACAUAUAUGUAUACAUAUAAUUAUGUUUUUGAUUAAAUAAUUGAAAAUAAAAAUAAAAAAAUUUAUAUAUAAAAAAACAAAAUUUAUAAAACGAUAUAAUUGUUAAUUUAAAAAUAUAUUGAGUUAUACAAUUAUUAAUAAUAAAAUUUUCAAUAUUUUAUUGAAAAAAGAAUUAAAUAUACUAUUUAUUUAAGAAAAAAUAUUAGUUUUAAAUUUUACAAAUAUUAAACAUAAGAAAGUCUUUAUUAGAUAUUAUUUAAUUUAUAAUUUAAGAAAAUUAUCUUUCAUAAAUUUUUUUCAUAAAUCAUUUUACAAUGAAAAGUGAAAUAUCUUAUAUGUAUUUUAUUAUCAAAUAUUACAAUUUUUAUGUGAGAUAAUAUUAAUAAAUUUAUUUAUGCAUAUAAAUAAAUAUGUAUAUAUGUACAUGUAAUAAAAUAUGUAAAAUAUAAAA